rnacentral:rRNA from 1 species
UACGAAGGGGGCUAGCGUUGCUCGGAAUCACUGGGCGUAAAGGGUGCGUAGGCGGGUCUUAAGUCGGGGGUGAAAUCCUGGAGCUCAACUCCAGAACUGCCUUCGAUACUGGAAGACUUGAGUCCGGGAGAGGUGAGUGGAACUGCGAGUGUAGAGGUGAAAUUCGUAGAUAUUCGCAAGAACACCAGUGGCGAAGGCGGGACUCUGGGCCGAUACUGACGCUGAGGAGCGAAAGCGUGGGGAGCAACAGGG